UGGGGAUUAGUGGCGAACGGGUGAGUAACACGUGGGCAAUCUGCCCUGCACUCUGGGACAAGCCCUGGAAACGGGGUCUAAUACCGGAUACGACCAUCUUGGGCAUCCUUGAUGGUGGAAAGCUCCGGCGGUGCAGGAUGAGCCCGCGGCCUAUCAGCUUGUUGGUGAGGUAAUGGCUCACCAAGGCGACGACGGGUAGCCGGCCUGAGAGGGCGACCGGCCACACUGGGACUGAGACACGGCCCAGACUCCUACGGGAGGCAGCAGUGGGGAAUAUUGCACAAUGGGCGAAAGCCUGAUGCAGCGACGCCGCGUGAGGGAUGACGGCCUUCGGGUUGUAAACCUCUUUCAGCAGGGAAGAAGCGAAAGUGACGGUACCUGCAGAAGAAGCGCCGGCUAACUACGUGCCAGCAGCCGCGGUAAUACGUAGGGCGCAAGCGUUGUCCGGAAUUAUUGGGCGUAAAGAGCUCGUAGGCGGCUUGUCACGUCGGUUGUGAAAGCCCGGGGCUUAACCCCGGGUCUGCAGUCGAUACGGGCAGGCUAGAGUUCGGUAGGGGAGAUCGGAAUUCCUGGUGGUAGCGGUGAAAUGCGCAGAUAUCAGGAGGAACACCGGUGGCGAAGGCGGAUCUCUGGGCCGAUACUGACGCUGAGGAGCGAAAGCGUGGGGAGCGAACAGGAUUAGAUACCCUGGUAGUCCACGCCGUAAA
rnacentral:rRNA from 1 species